UGUUAAGUUCACUGCCUGGGGAGUACGGUCGCAAGGCUGAAACUUAAAGGAAUUGGCGGGGGAGCACUGCAACGGGAGGAGCGUGCGGUUUAAUUGGAUUCAACGCCGGAAAACUCACCAGGGCCGACUGUUAGAUGAAGACCAGCGUAAUGAGCUUGUCGGAUUUUCAGAGAGGUGGUGCAUGGCCGUCGUCAGUUCGUACUGUAAAGCGUUCUGUUAAGUCAGAUAACGAACGAGACCCUCAUCUCUAUUUGCUACCCGUCUCUCCGGAGGCGGCGCACUAUAGAGAGACCGCUGGUGUUAAACCAGAGGAAGGCGAGGGCAACGACAGGUCAGUAUGCCCCGAAUGUCCUGGGCUACACGCGCGCUACAAAGGACGGGACAAUGGGAAGCCAGGCCGAGAGGCCGAGCUAACCCGAAACCCGUUCAUAGUUCGGAUCGAGGGCUGUAACUCGCCCUCGUGAAGCUGGAUUCCGUAGUAAUCGUGUUUCAAUAUAGCACGGUGAAUAUGCCCCUGCUCCUUGCACACACCGCCCGUCAAACCAUCUUAGUUGGGGGUGGGUGAGGCUGCGCUUUAUGGCGUAUUCGAGCCUGCCUUCGACAAGGAGGGUUAAGUCGUAACAAGGUAUCUGUAGGGGAACCUGCAGAUG
rnacentral:rRNA from 1 species